rnacentral:misc_RNA from 1 species
GGGUCGAUGAAGAACGCAGCCAGCUGCGUGAAUUAAUGUGAAUUGCAGGACACAUUGAACAUCGAUAUCUUGAACGCACAUUGCGGCCUCCGGCAUUCCGGAGGCCACGCCUGUCUCAGGGUCGGUUGAAACUAUCUAUCGUCGGUUGACCUAAUUUGCCGACGCAUUGGUCGUCGCGGCGCGCUUGUCCUAACGCGCGUUGGCGGUGGCGGUCGUGGUGAUGCGUGCGGGUGCCCUAAUGGACCCGCGCGCGUCGUCGCUUCUGCUGCCGCCGACGCGUUUGCGCGUCUCGUCGUCCGAAGUUCAGACGGGUCCGCGCGCCGAUGGCGUCGUCGACCGCACGUCCUACAGCCCGCCAGCGGCGGUUGGGGGGACGGCGACUCGGACGCUCUGCUGGGAAGCCGUUGCCCGUGACCGACGUUGUCGGUACGGUCGCGCGGCGCCGUCGGCACGACGUGGAACCACUCGAGCUAGUGCGCGCCUUGAGCGCCACGCUACACACGUUACCUUUUUUCGACCUGAGAUCAGACGAGAUUACCCGCUGAAUUUAAGCAUAU